rnacentral:rRNA from 1 species
GUGAACGCUGGCGGCAGGCCUAACACAUGCAAGUCGAGCGGCAGCGCGGGGGCAACCCUGGCGGCGAGCGGCGGACGGGUGAGGAAUUCGUCGGAAUCUGCCUUUUGUGGGGGAUAACGUAGGGAAACUUACGCUAAUACCGCAUACGACCUACGGGUGAAAGUGGGGGACCUUCGGGCCUCACGCAGAAAGAUGAGCCGACGACCGAUUAGCUAGUUGGUAGGGUAAAGGCUUACCAAGGCGACGAUCGGUAGCUG